rnacentral:rRNA from 1 species
GAUGAACGCUGGCGGCGUGCCUAAUACAUGCAAGUCGAGCGAAUGGAUUAAGAGCUUGCUCUUAUGAAGUUAGCGGCGGACGGGUGAGUAACACGUGGGUAACCUGCCCAUAAGACUGGGAUAACUCCGGGAAACCGGGGCUAAUACCGGAUAACAUUUUGAACCGCAUGGUUCGAAAUUGAAAGGCGGCUUCGGCUGUCACUUAUGGAUGGACCCGCGUCGCAUUAGCUAGUUGGUGAGGUAACGGCUCACCAAGGCAACGAUGCGUAGCCGACCUGAGAGGGUGAUCGGCCACAAUGGGACUGAGACACGGCCCAGACUCCUACGGGAGGUAGCAGUAGGGAAUCUUCCGCAAUGGACGAAAGUCUGACGGGGCAACGCCGCGUGAGUGAUGAAGGCUUUCGGGUCGUAAAACUCUGUUGUUAGGGAAGAACAAGUGCUAGUUGAAUAAGCUGACACCUUGACGGUACCUAACCAGAAAGCCACGGCUAACUACGUGCCGGCCGCCGCCGUAA